UAAAGUGAUUUGACACUCAAUAUCAUGUAAGGGCUGUGUUUAUUCUGCAGGUGUCAGUGGAGUGACUGUAUUGACUCAGAGUCCAUUAAUCACAGUCAGUAAAGGAGAAACAGCUAAACUGGACUGACAGUAACUGAUCAUGUUGCUGGAUGGUACAAAAAGACUCCAGCAGGAGUUCCUCAGUUUGUGUUAAUGCUUGGUUAUAGCUGGAGCUCACCUACAUAUGGAUCUGGUUUCUCUGCUCCUAAAUUCACAUCAACACAUUCAUCUAAAUCAGAUUAUAGUCUGAUCAUCAGUAAUGUGGAUGUGGAUGAUUCUGCAGUGUAUUACUGUAAGACAUGGGACAGCUCUGUUAGUGAGUACGUGUUCGGCCAAGGAACAAAACUCAAUGUGAUCGACUUCCCUUUCACUCCUCCUGUUCUGACUCUCUUGUCUCCGUCCGCUGAGGCUCUGAAGGAGAGUAAAGCUACACUCGUGUGUCUGGCUGAGGAUAUUUCAGUAGCUCUGGUGCACGUCACCUGGUCAGUCAAUGGUCGCUCCGUUACAGAUGGAGUUUGGAGCAGUCCUACUGAGAAACAGCAAGACAAAACCUUCAAAAUGAGCAGCUAUCUGACCAUCGAGUCGUCUGACUGGAUGGAUAAUGCAGAUUUCAGAUGCAGAUGUGAAGUGUCAGUGGGUUCAAAAUUCACUAAGAAAAGUAUCUCAGUUUCACAGUGUUGA